ACCUCAAUCCCCACUAUCCCCACCACCUCCGCGUCCGCCACGCCGUCGCCUCUGCCCCUCUCCCCAUCGCCACCUCCGCGUCGUCCUUGCCCUCUCCCUCGACGCCGGCUCUGCCGCGCCGUGCCGCCCUCACCGCGGCGCCGUCGCCCUCACCCCCGUCGUUGCCUUUCGCCGCGCCCUUGUCCUCCUGCCUGCCGGUUACCCCCGCCUGUUUGCCCCGUCGCCGCUUUGUGGCUCGCCGUCGGCCGCCUGCGCUCGUCGACCUGGGGCUCGCCGCCCCCCUCCCCGCGCGGACCGGCCCAGAGUUCGCGGCUCGCGCAGGCCGGCAGGCUCGCAGCCACAGGGGCCAGCCGGGUAGCAGGCUCCAGCCGCGCCAGCCACCUGCCGUGCGCGGCGCGCCCACGCCGCGCAGCGCGCAGGCCGCAGGGGCACCACCGCGCUACGCAGGCUGCAGGCACAUGUUCAUGGUAUGCGAUCAACCACAUCCCUUGCAUGUCAAGAACAUGGUGAAAAAAUGUGCUUGAUGGAAAGUUUGACGAGGCCUGCUCUGCACUAAAGCAAUUUAUGAUUUGGGAUACUCUCCUACUGACAUUAUCACUACUCUCUUCCGAGUUGUCAAGAACUAUGACAUGGCUGAAUAUUUGAAUAUGAAAAUGCUCAAGAUUUGCACAUAUGAGAAUCUGCACAUGAAACAAGAUUUGCACAUAUGAGAAUCUGCGAUGGAGUUGGGUCAUUCCUUCAGCUUUCUGGCCACUUGCAAAGUUUGCGCUGGUGAGAGAAACUACAACAGCUCCUUGAACAAAUCAUGUUGCCGGUGGUAAUAGGGUAUGUCGAGCUAUGCUGACAUGGUAACUUAGUUAUUUCUGUUAACACUACUGGCGUGCAUGUCUUGUGACUACAGCCGUCAUGUAUCUCAGUCUGUAAGAUAGUACCUUAUAAGUGAACAACUAUCGGUCUAUCAUGCUUAUCCAGUGUGAAACAUUCAGCUGCGUGCAUCCAUCCUUGUUUGCACAGAUUGUUUGCUGCUGUCUCAAA